GGAGUUCUGGCUCAAUGGUAGAGCACUUGCCUGGCAUGCAUGAGGCCCUAGGUUCAAUCCUCAGCACCA
rnacentral:tRNA from 1 species